ACUCAAAUGAAUUGACGGGGGCUCACACAAGCGGUGGAGCAUGUGGCUCAAUUCGAAGCAACGCGAAGAACCUUAUCCUGGGCUUGACAUGUACGGAUUAGCUCCUUGAAAGAGGAGUAACGCGGCUUGCCGUGGAACGUACACAGGUGCUGCAUGGCUGUCGUCAGCUCGUGCUGUGAAGUGUCGGGUUAAGUCCCUUAACGAGCGAAACCCCUACCGUUAGUUGCCAUCAGGUCAUGCUGGGCACUCUAGCGGGACUGCCGGUGUUAAACCGGAGGAAGGUGGGGAUGACGUCAAGUCCUCAUGGCCUUUAUGCCCAGGGCUGCACACGUGCUACAAUGGCGCAUACAAAACGAAGCAAUGCGGCAACGCGGAGCAAAUCGGUAAAAAUGCGCCCCAGUUCAGAUUGCAGUCUGCAACUCGACUGCAUGAAGUUGGAAUCGCUAGUAAUCGGGGAUCAGCUACGCCCCGGUGAAUAUGUUCCUGAGCCUUGUACACACCGCCCGU
rnacentral:rRNA from 1 species